GUCAGUUCUUGUCACUAUCAUUUCACAUAUGUUAUAGUUGACCAGAGUUUACAUAUUUGGUAGUGCUGUUUUGAUCUCUGUGUUCUGAUUAUCUUGUUUGUGUGCUAUUAUAUGUUAAUUUAUUCAUUUUAAGGACUAAGUCCUUGUUCAAUCACAACUUGUUUGUUGGUUUAUCUAGUGAACUGAUUAUAACUUGUCUACAGCGGAAAAAGGCAAAAGUGAAUUUGUGAGAAACAUUUUCUCUUCGACACUAGGCAUUUCUGCUUUACAUUAUCCCAAUCAUCUUA
rnacentral:misc_RNA from 1 species